rnacentral:rRNA from 1 species
AGAGGUUGCUUUUGGCUCAGGAUGAACGCUGGCGGCGUGCUUAACACAUGCAAGUCGAGCGAAGCAUUUUGGAUGAAGUUUUCGGAUGGAUUCUGAAAUGACUGAGCGGCGGACGGGUGAGUAACGCGUGGAUAACCUGCCUCAUACAGGGGGAUAACAGUUAGAAAUGACUGCUAAUACCGCAUAAGCGCACAGGACCGCAUGGUCUGGUGUGAAAAACUCCGGUGGUAUGAGAUGGGUCCGCGUUGGAUUAGGCAGUUGGCGGGGUAACGGCCCACCAAACCGACGAUCCAUAGCCGGCCUGAGAGGGCGGACGGCCACAUUGGGACUGAGACACGGCCCAAACUCCUACGGGAGGCAGCAGUGGGGAAUAUUGCACAAUGGGGGAAACCCUGAUGCAGCGACGCCGCGUGAGUGAUGAAGUAUUUCGGUAUGUAAAGCUCUAUCAGCAGGGAAGAAAAUGACGGUACCUGACUAAGAAGCACCGGCUAAAUACGUGCCAGCAGCCGCGGUAAUACGUAUGGUGCAAGCGUUAUCCGGAUUUACUGGGUGUAAAGGGAGCGUAGACGGAGAGGCAAGUCUGAUGUGAAAACCCGGGGCUCAACCCCGGGACUGCAUUGGAAACUGUUUUUCUAGAGUGUCGGAGAGGCAAGUGGAAUUCCUAGUGUAGCGGUGAAAUGCGUAGAUAUUAGGAGGAACACCAGUGGCGAAGGCGGCUUGCUGGACGAUGACUGACGUUGAGGCUCGAAAGCGUGGGGAGCAAACAGGAUUAGAUACCCUGGUAGUCCACGCCGUAAACG